UCGAAACAUUUCAUUCUCCGACAGUCUUUUUCUCUCUUACAUCUCCUCUUACAUUACUGAAACUUUUCCAUUUCCAGCAAUCAUUUUUUUUUUUUGGUUCAAAUUCUGAUCUCAUAAAAGAACACCAUGAUGAAAGAUUAUGAUCUUGAACCUAAGCAGUGGUCCGCGUGUCUUUUAACUGUGGAGGAGAUAUCUGCACAUGUUGCAUCGCAUGUUUUCUCCCAUGCAUCACCUUCGGCCAAAUUGCAGAAGUUGUCGACGAAGGACAAAAAUCUUGCCUUUGCCAUUGCAUACUGUACGUGUUGUUCUCGACGUAUCAUUUGCAGAGGACCUACUCAAGCAAGUAUAGAGGGAUAAUGCGCA